rnacentral:rRNA from 1 species
CUACGGGUGGCUGCAGUGAGGAAUAUUGCACAAUGGGGGAAACCCUGAUGCAGCAACGCCGCGUGGAGGAUGACGCAUUUCGGUGUGUAGACUCCUUUUAUCAGAGAAGAAAAUGACGGUAUCUGAUGAAUAAGCUCCGGCUAACUCCGUGCCAGCAGCCGCGGUAAUACGGAGGGAGCAAGCGUUAUUCGGAAUCACUGGGCGUAAAGGACGCGUAGGCGGGUUUUUAAGUCAGGUGUGAAAGCCUAUGGCUCAACCAUAGAACUGCACUUGAAACUGGGGACCUAGAGUAUGGAAGGGGCAGGUGGAAUUAGUGGUGUAGGGGUAAAAUCCGUAGAUAUCACUAGGAAUACCGAAAGCGAAGGCGACCUGCUGGGACAUUACUGACGCUGAGGCGUGAAAGCGUGGGGAGCAAACAGGAUUAGAUACCCUAGUAGUC